rnacentral:rRNA from 1 species
UUUUAUGGAGAGUUUGAUCCUGGCUCAGGAUGAACGCUGGCGGCGUGCCUAAUACAUGCAAGUCGAGCGAACGGACGAGAAGCUUGCUUCUCUGAUGUUAGCGGCGGACGGGUGAGUAACACGUGGAUAACCUACCUAUAAGACUGGGAUAACUUCGGGAAACCGGAGCUAAUACCGGAUAAUAUUUUAAACCGCAUGGUUCAAAAGUGAAAGACGGUCUUGCUGUCACUUAUAGAUGGAUCCGCGCUGCAUUAGCUAGUUGGUAAGGUAACGGCUUACCAAGGCAACGAUGCAUAGCCGACCUGAGAGGGUGAUCGGCCACACUGGAACUGAGACACGGUCCAGACUCCUACGGGAGGCAGCAGUAGGGAAUCUUCCGCAAUGGGCGAAAGCCUGACGGAGCAACGCCGCGUGAGUGAUGAAGGUCUUCGGAUCGUAAAACUCUGUUAUUAGGGAAGAACAUAUGUGUAAGUAACUGUGCACAUCUUGACGGUACCUAAUCAGAAAGCCACGGCUAACUACGUGCCAGCAGCCGCGGUAAUACGUAGGUGGCAAGCGUUAUCCGGAAUUAUUGGGCGUAAAGCGCGCGUAGGCGGUUUUUUAAGUCUGAUGUGAAAGCCCACGGCUCAACCGUGGAGGGUCAUUGGAAACUGGAAAACUUGAGUGCAGAAGAGGAAAGUGGAAUUCCAUGUGUAGCGGUGAAAUGCGCAGAGAUAUGGAGGAACACCAGUGGCGAAGGCGACUUUCUGGUCUGUAACUGACGCUGAUGUGCGAAAGCGUGGGGAUCAAACAGGAUUAGAUACCCUGGUAGUCCACGCCGUAAACGAUGAGUGCUAAGUGUUAGGGGGUUUCCGCCCCUUAGUGCUGCAGCUAACGCAUUAAGCACUCCGCCUGGGGAGUACGACCGCAAGGUUGAAACUCAAAGGAAUUGACGGGGACCCGCACAAGCGGUGGAGCAUGUGGUUUAAUUCGAAGCAACGCGAAGAACCUUACCAAAUCUUGACAUCCUUUGACAACUCUAGAGAUAGAGCCUUCCCCUUCGGGGGACAAAGUGACAGGUGGUGCAUGGUUGUCGUCAGCUCGUGUCGUGAGAUGUUGGGUUAAGUCCCGCAACGAGCGCAACCCUUAAGCUUAGUUGCCAUCAUUAAGUUGGGCACUCUAAGUUGACUGCCGGUGACAAACCGGAGGAAGGUGGGGAUGACGUCAAAUCAUCAUGCCCCUUAUGAUUUGGGCUACACACGUGCUACAAUGGACAAUACAAAGGGCAGCGAAACCGCGAGGUCAAGCAAAUCCCAUAAAGUUGUUCUCAGUUCGGAUUGUAGUCUGCAACUCGACUACAUGAAGCUGGAAUCGCUAGUAAUCGUAGAUCAGCAUGCUACGGUGAAUACGUUCCCGGGUCUUGUACACACCGCCCGUCACACCACGAGAGUUUGUAACACCCGAAGCCGGUGGAGUAACCUUUUAGGAGCUAGCCGUCGAAGGUGGGACAAAUGAUUGGGGUGAAGUCGUAACAAGGUAGCCGUAUCGGAAGGUGCGGCUGGAUCACCUCCUUUCUAA